GUUCAGUUUUAACUGCACAGUCCAACUGUGCAGUUAUAACUGCGCAGGCAUAACUGAACGUUUCAUAUUCAUAUCCAAUAUCGUUCGUGUCAUCGCAGACCGGCGUCAGCAACCUAGGUAAUCGUGACGCCAGAACGUCUGUCAGUAAAACUAUAUAUAAUUGUAAAGACUUCACUUAACAAAAGCAGUGGGCGACCGCCAAAAAUAAAGAUUUCGCUGUAAAGAACGAACUAAUUGUAGAAUUAUCGAGACCUAGUUUCUCUAGCGGAUGUCAUUAGGUACGAGAUAGGGAGUUACAGGACGCAUUGACUGGAAGCUUCGGGAACGUUUAGGUGGUUACUCGUGCUGUUGUCUAAUUAUCCCAGUUAAAGCAAGAUUGUAGCCGGAAAAUAAAGAAGUUUUGGUAGUUCGAACGCGUGUUGCUCGAAAACACCUUGCUUCAUUGAGGAAGGAAGUCAGGUUUACUGUUGACUUUAUGCAAGUUUACACUGAAGGACACUUGGAAGAGCGUCAUCUGCUGGAAACAUCAAGACUUGGGAAAUGUGCUGCCUGGCCAUGGAAGCUUCUGGAUUCUGGAAUGUGGUACAUAAUCAUGAUUCGUCUCAUGAAACAACCAAACACAAGACAUCUCUCUUGUCGCAGAAUGUGGGCGAGAAAUAAUUUGAUUUAUUAAUUGGUAGAAGUAGACACAUCCAUCCACUUGAGUGACCUGACCACCUCCGCUGUCAUUAAGAAGAGUAGGGUAGACGUGCCGUGGCGUGACUGGUGUCUGCCAGCCGACGAUAAUGGUCCCAUUUGGUGUGUGAGUGUGGUACUCCACAUCUGCUCCAUGUUGAUGCUCCGUGAAAAUCACCACAUCUCUCAUUUCAAAGGCAUUUGAAGAAAAGGUUCAUGAAUCACAACACGAAGUCGUAUUGCUACUUCCUGCUAAAGAUUGCUGGAAAAUGUGGUUGAAAGAAAAACUAAAAGGAUAUUACAAGGCUACCAAGAACUUGAUAAAAUCGUCGUUGAAGUCUAAACCACUUUUUCCUGGGGAAUCCUUAGUUCAAGUAAUGCACUGGUGGUCAAGGUGGGUUUUUGGCUUUAUAUUUAUUAUUACCUGUUUUGACUUUAUUGAAAAUAAACAAUAUUGUUUAAAUCUUGGAGAUGGAACUUUAAUUCCAAAGCACCGUGAAGAAUUAUGUAAGAAAGUUUCUUAUGCAACCCUUCAUGAGCAAACUGAUAAGAAGACUCCAGUUACUAGUGGAAUUUAUUUUCCAUACCUUGCCCUGUCUUUAAGUUUUUCUUAUAAAUGUAUGGAGUGGUUCUCUGUUCUUUGGGGUCAGGACCAGCGGAUUAAUAAGAUAAUAAACGAAUGUUACUUAGAUACCAGAGAUACCACUAAACAGGAGAGGAUGAAAACUUUUCUAGAGGCAAAUAUUGGGGGAUUUCAUUCUGUUUUUUAUAGGUCAUUAGCUGUCCAUAUAUUUCUUCUUUUAUUUGAUAUAGCUGCUUUGUAUUUUCUUCAUUACAUGUGUAAUGAGAAACUACAUGUUGUUUUUCAUUCAUUAUGGAAGAGAAACCAUAUAUGGCAUGGUGUAUUAGAUUUAGUAUACCCAUCUUAUACAACAUGUGAAAUUACACCUGAUAUGGUUAUUGUUGGAAGAGCUACAAUAAUCUAUAGGUGCUAUAAUCCUGCAAUGAAAGACUUCCAAAAGCUAUUCAUAAUUAUAGUUAGCAUAGUUGUAGUGCUUGUGUCAUUGUCAUUAUUGCAAGUGAUUUAUCUUUUGACUUGUAUCUAUCUUCCCUGUGUGCGAAAAGAACUUAUCUCGCCUGGAGGUAUUGCACCAGCAGCAAAAAAUUUUGUAUCAAAAAAGAUAUGUUUGGGUGAUGUAUUGGUCCUCAAUACUUUUAGGAUUCACUUAUCUGGUCGGCAUUACACUGAAUUGAUAAUAAAUCUUGCAAGGCACUUCCAGAGUAACGAGUCAGGAAUCCAAAUCGCAAAAGAAAUCACAACUUAAUUAGAGAUGAGGUAACCUCAGCUAUUCCCCAUUUAGAUCAAAAUGUUUUUAUCAUUAUUACCUUAUUCUGGUAACAAAAGACUGGUGUGCUUUUGUUUUGUCUUUUGUCAUUGUUUAGUUUACAUUAUUGCAUAGAUUUCCUAUCUUAGUAUUCAUAGUUGUUUAAUGUUGUUUGAUUCGCCAUGGUCAUUAAUUUUGUAAUGAUAAUUUUGUGUUUUAAAUUAUAAUGUAGGAAUUAUAUGUUUGCCAUUAUUUUUUUACAUGCAGAUUUUAAUGUUUAAUGUGUAAACAUUUUUGGUUCAUGUGGUACUAAACUGUGUUAAGUGUUCUCAUUGAUGAUAAAAAAUUUUAAUCCAGUAACUAGAAGAAACAACUUAUUGAUGACUGCAGAUAAUGUGUAUCUGUUUUGUUUUUUUUGUAUUAUAAUACUAACCAGAAAGGAAGUUAUUUACUUUUAGAGAAAUGAUAUGAGAGAAAAAAUAAUUGUUGUUAAAAGCAUGUUUUAUAAUUUUCCCAAGAUACAAAAGGCAUUUUGAAAUAGUAUUUAUAGUAAAUGUUUAGUUUAUACUAAAGAAA